UGUUUGAAUCUUCCUAUCCAAUGAAGUCAGGAGAGGUAUCCAAAUGACAGAACAGCCUCCUCCCUCUUUGUCCACCACCCGACUUGAGACAAGGAUUCCAAAUACUCAGACUGCCGUGAAGGGCAAUAUAAUGGAAGUCUUCAUUUCUCAAUGCCACUCUCAACUCCAAGUCAUCCUACCUUUGAUGAUCCAUUUUCCAUAAUUCCUUACUCAGAGACUCCCAGUCCUCUCCAAACUGAUUUGUGCUAUGCAACUCAUUUCCACCUUUCAUAGUUUCCUUUCCAU